GGACGGGUGAGUAACACGUGGGCAACCUGCCUGUAAGACUGGGAUAACAUCGGGAAACCGAUGCUAAUACCGGAUAAUCCUUUUCCUCUCAUGAGGAAAAGCUGAAAGUCGGUUUACGGCUGACACUUACAGAUGGGCCCGCGGCGCAUUAGCUAGUUGGUGAGGUAACGGCUCACCAAGGCGACGAUGCGUAGCCGACCUGAGAGGGUGAUCGGCCACACUGGGACUGAGACACGGCCCAGACUCCUACGGGAGGCAGCAGUAGGGAAUCUUCCACAAUGGACGAAAGUCUGAUGGAGCAACGCCGCGUGAGCGAUGAAGGCCUUCGGGUCGUAAAGCUCUGUUGUUAGGGAAGAACAAGUAUCGGAGUAACUGCCGGUACCUUGACGGUACCUAACCAGAAAGCCACGGCUAACUACGUGCCAGCAGCCGCGGUAAUACGUAGGUGGCAAGCGUUGUCCGGAAUUAUUGGGCGUAAAGCGCGCGCAGGCGGUCCUUUAAGUCUGAUGUGAAAGCCCACGGCUCAACCGUGGAGGGUCAUUGGAAACUGGGGGACUUGAGUGCAGAAGAGGAAAGCGGAAUUCCACGUGUAGCGGUGAAAUGCGUAGAGAUGUGGAGGAACACCAGUGGCGAAGGCGG
rnacentral:rRNA from 1 species